CUGUGCUAGACGGGGAGGUAGCGGUGCCCUGUAACCCGCAACCCGCUAUAGCGGGGUUGAAUUCCUGUCCGAGGUUUGUUGUCUGUAAGGUCCGGCCCGUGUAAGUGGCGAUGAUGACCGGGUCCUGCGCAACAGAGAUCCAUGAACCCUGUCAGGUCCGGAAGGAAGCAGCAGUAAGUGGACCCCUUUGUGUGCCGCAGGGAAGCCUGGUAGGAGUUAACUGCCCGGUUCCCGCUUAUGGGUGCAAAUCGGAGACAGGUGCACAG
rnacentral:SRP_RNA from 1 species